rnacentral:tRNA from 14 species
GCCGAAGUGGUGGAAUUGGUAGACACACCAUCUUGAGGGGGUGGCGGGCGAUAGCCUGUACGAGUUCGAGUCUCGUCUUCGGCACCA